rnacentral:misc_RNA from 1 species
CUAAACAAUGUGCGGGAUAUCCCACCGGGGACUCCUUAGCAAAACACAUUCAUGAGUACCCUUCCAUGUUGCUUCCCCAGACCAGUAGCCACUGCUGCCAGCUCAGUACCCUAAUGUGGGUUUCUUGGGUUGAGGUGUCUGGGGAAGGGCUCACCAUCAAACUUUUGAACCAAUUUAGUAGUCUGAAAAGGCCAUGUGCCGCAAACUUUAAUAUAUAUUA